CCUACGGGUGGCAGCAGUGAGGAAUAUUGGUCAAUGGACGAGAGUCUGAACCAGCCAAGUAGCGUGAAGGAUGACUGCCCUAUGGGUUGUAAACUUCUUUUAUAAAGGAAUAAAACGAGGCACGUGUGCCUUUUUGCAUGUACUUUAUGAAUAAGGAUCGGAUAACUUCGUUCCAGCAGCCGCGGUAAUACGGAGGAUCCGAGCGUUAUCCGGAUUUAUUUGGUUUAAAGGGAGCGUAGAUGGGUUGUUAAGUCAGUUGUGAAAGUUGGCGGCUCAACCGGAAAAUUGCAAUUGAUACUGGCAGUCUUGAGUACAGUAGAGGUAGGCGGAAUUCGUGGUGUAGCGGUGAAAUGCUUAGAGAUCACGAAGAACCCCGAUUGCGAAGGCAGCUUACUAAACUGAGACUGACACUGAUGCUCGAAAGUGUGGGGAUCAAACAGGAUUAGAUACCCUUGUAGUC
rnacentral:rRNA from 1 species